AUCUGCCAUCAGGUCUGGGACAACCACUGGAAACGGUGGCUAAUACCGGAUGUGCCCUUCGGGGUGAAAGGUUAACUGCCUGUUGAUGAGCUCGCGUCUGAUUAGCUAGUUGGUGUGGUAAGAGCGCACCAAGGCGACGAUCAGUAGCUGGUCUGAGAGGACGAUCAGCCACACUGGGACUGAGACACGGCCCAGACUCCUACGGGAGGCAGCAGUGGGGAAUUUUCCGCAAUGGGCGAAAGCCUGACGGAGCAAUACCGCGUGAGGGAGGAAGGCUCUUGGGUCGUAAACCUCUUUUCUCAGGGAAGAACACAAUGACGGUACCUGAGGAAUAAGCAUCGGCUAACUCCGUGCCAGCAGCCGCGGUAAUACGGAGGAUGCAAGCGUUAUCCGGAAUGAUUGGGCGUAAAGCGUCCGCAGGUGGCUAUGUAAGUCUGCUGUUAAAGAGUCUAGCUCAACUAGAUAAGAGCAGUGGAAACUACAAGGCUAGAGUGCGUUCGGGGCAGAGGGAAUUCCUGGUGUAGCGGUGAAAUGCGUAGAGAUCAGGAAGAACACCAGUGGCGAAGGCGCUCUGCUAGGCCGCAACUGACACUGAGGGACGAAAGCUAGGGGAGC
rnacentral:rRNA from 1 species